UACGUAGGGGGCGAGCGUUGUCCGGAUUUAUUGGGCGUAAAGAGCUCGUAGGCGGUUUGGCAAGUCGGGUGUGAAAACUCCGGGCUCAACUCGGAGACGCCAUUCGAUACUGCUAUGACUUGAGUCCGGUAGGGGAGUGCGGAAUUCCUGGUGUAGCGGUGAAAUGCGCAGAUAUCAGGAGGAACACCGGUGGCGAAGGCGGCACUCUGGGCCGGUACUGACGCUGAGGAGCGAAAGCGUGGGGAGCGAACAGG
rnacentral:rRNA from 1 species